GAGCGAGCGAAGGNAGUUGUCUCUGUUGUUCAGCGGCGGACGGGUGAGUAAUGCCUAGGAAUCUGCCUGGUAGUGGGGGAUAACGUUNGGAAACGGACGCUAAUACCGCAUACGUCCUACGGGAGAAAGCAGGGGACCUUCGGGCCUUGCGCUAUCAGAUGAGCCUAGGUCGGAUUAGCUAGUUGGUGAGGUAAUGGCUCACCAAGGCGACGAUCCGUAACUGGUCUGAGAGGAUGAUCAGUCACACUGGAACUGAGACACGGUCCAGACUCCUACGGGAGGCAGCAGUGGGGAAUAUUGGACAAUGGGCGAAAGCCUGAUCCAGCCAUGCCGCGUGUGUGAAGAAGGUCUUCGGAUUGUAAAGCACUUUAAGUUGGGAGGAAGGGCAUUUACCUAAUACGUAAGUGUUUUGACGUUACCGACAGAAUAAGCACCGGCUA
rnacentral:rRNA from 1 species